UACGUAGGUGGCAAGCGUUGUCCGGAUUUAUUGGGUUUAAAGGGUGCGUAGGCGGCUUAUUAAGUCAGUGGUGAAAUACUUUAGCUCAACUAGAGGGGUGCCAUUGAUACUGAUGAGCUUGAGUACAGAUGAGGUAGGCGGAAUUGACGGUGUAGCGGUGAAAUGCUUAGAUAUCGUCAAGAACACCUAUAGCGAAGGCAGCUUACUAGGCUGUAACUGACGCUGAGGCACGAAAGUGUGGGGAUCAAACAGG
rnacentral:rRNA from 1 species